UUCUCUUUCCUCUCGCCUCCUCCUCUCCGCCCUCUCGCUCGACGCCGCCAUGGCCUCCCCCGCCGCUCAUCUCCACCUUCUCCGACGUUCUCUCUUGCUAGCCAUCGCAUCUCCUCGGCCCAUGGAUUUCGGUGCAAUGCAUCUAGGCCACCACGUCUCCUCUUUUUCUCCCAGAUUUCGAUCUGGAGUGGGAGAGAUAGAGUCAGCCAUAAGCGCCGGUGCCGGCACGGGAUGAUAGAGAUGCCACCUCUCCUCUUCUCGCCCCAUAUUUGGGUGGUCGAGCCGACGAGGAUGAGGGGCGGAGUAGUCGUAGCAGGCGCAGUGCUGGCGAACGCGAGCAGCAGGCACAACAGGCGGUAGUGCUGGCGAAUCGAUUGUUCAGGUGCGUCAGCCAUGAAAGUUGCAGAAACAAAUCAUGUAAGUUCCUCUAAUUUUCUUCCAUAAAUUUUCUCCCUUGGGUAUAUAUAAAGACUGCACAAAAGUUAAUUUCUUUACUUCUCGACCGCGUCUAAUUUUGGGAAAAAGAGACGGAUUUGAGAGAAAUAGGCAACAUGAAGAUCUUUUGUUUCUUUGCAUUUUUGACCGCAUCUAGUUUUGAAGAAAAGAGAGGAAUUUGAGAGAGAUAGACAAUCUGAAGGGAUGUUGUGGCUACAAUCAUCCUUCUUGUAGUCACAAAGGGUACUUUUUGUGGCAUGAUUUCUUUGCAGGUUGAUAAAAUCGCACACAACGACUAGGUUCAGGUUGCUCUGUUUAUGAAGAUUUGUGCUGCUCUAUUGCUCUGAGGUUAUUCAGUUUUACUUUCCAAGUUGAUAAAAGAACACACACUCAUCAAGUUCAGUUUGCUCUGACUGUGGCAAUCAUGGCUAUCCCAGGAGCAGGUUCAGCUUCUGUACAUCCAUUUUUUGGGCUACUUUGCAUCUUUCAGAUCUGCAAUUACAUAUGAUGCUAUUUCCCUUCUGCCAUAUGAUGGACUGCUACUUCUUCUCAGAUGUGUUGGUUUUUGUGGGUCCAUUGGUUGCUUCAUUUUCAGUUAUAUGAUAGCUCGGGGCAUGCUCACCAGUUGUUCUGUUAAAAUGACAAAACCGACUGAAAUUUAUCUCUUAUAUGUGUUACUAAAUACUAGAGGUGAUUAUUUUCUUUCUAGGGAUUACAAUUUUAUAAGCGUUAUGAUUUUGAGACUUUGAGGUCCCAACUAAUUAGUCUUUGAGAACUCAACGCUUCUAUAUAGAUAUAAGUAGUAUUUCUGACAAUGAGCAUCUCCGAAGCUGCAGCCAAUGCUAAAAGUAGUGCUUAUAGCUGUAGUAGGCGAUAAAUCGUUAGAACUAAUGUGUGACACUUAUUUUGCAACAUCAAUAUCCAAGUUUUUCAACAUUUUACAAUCUUACUAAUGUGUGUCACCAAGUUUCUCUGUUUUAGAUGGUUCUGUCUUUUUACUUCUGAAAAUGGGUGUGUGUUCUGUUUAGCUGACUAUAAUUCUCAGGCUAGCAUCUGGUUUAGAAUUCUGCAAUAUUGUGUCUCAUUGCACUUUGAAGAUACACCACACUAUCAGUGGUGAUUUAAAUCCGCUUAUUUCUUAGCUACAAUAUUCCAUAGAAUAACUUGGACAUGUUUGUUGUAUAUUUUGCUCUUUGCCUAUCAUCGAACAUAUAAACCCUGCCGGGCUACCCGCCCAGCCAGGGCACUUCCCGUGCGCAGCUUCGUCCACCGUUCGAUUCGUCUGACUCUGCAGCGCUGGCUCCUUUUCUAUCGUUCAUCAGUUUUCAUAGCUUCCACUUCCUAUUUUGAUUCUACCACAGAUGACGCAUGGGCCUAACUCUAACCUUUGCUUUUUCUUGAUUAUGUGGUGUGAUUGGAUGAGGUACGACAUGCAUGCACUAGCCGACCCGCACGCCUCGCCCAUUGGAUGGAGAGGGAGGGACACGAACCCUAGAACCGCAACCACUACUCUCCCCUUCCUAUUACUCACAUCAAUUAGUACAGACUUUUUGAUUACACAAGUAAUAUUAAUCUGGUUACCAUCAAGAGGACCAACAUCAAUUAGUGCAGGCUUUUCGAUUAUGUAAGUAGUAUUAGUGUAAUUAUUUCGUCUCCUAUGACAUAUGCAUGUGCCACUUUGAUCUUGGUCUUUAGUUUGUUUUAUUUCCCAGGAGUGACCUGAGAUUACUGUGAUGAUAUGUAAGACUAGAGGUAGAGUGAGUCAAAUAUGUACUAGAUGCACUAAUUUAGCUCAUUCCCUUGCUUCAUGCACUUCAGGUUUGGAUAUGUCCUUAUUUUCAUGAAACAUUAGGAGGAAAGUCAAGUCCCGUCAUCGACCAAAUUCGGGCCCCUGCACCUCCAGGACUAUGACAUUGGCACCUUCGACAUGUAACAGUAAGAGAACUAGCAUCGAUUAGUACAUGUUUUGAAAUUUAUUCAGGUACUUUUAAGGUAAACAUUCAUCUUCUAGCCAUGUUUGUGAAGUAACAUUGUUAGAGAAAUUCCCUGUAGCUUAUAUUUUGGGAUGAAUUAAGGUAUAAUUAGUUAUCUUCAGCAUUGAGAAUGGUUCAUGUUGCUCAUUAAUACAUGCAGAUUAGUGAACAAUCCAAUAAAAUGAACCUGUUAUUUUAGUGUCCAAUAUGUCUUUUUUUGUUGUUUAUUCAUAUUAUCAUCUAUUUGCCGAUCUGAAGCAUGAUGGGUUUGUUCUUUGUACUCUUUGCUUGGCUUCUUGGCUGCUUCUUGCUGUCAAGGUUAGUGUUCUAUGUCAUUCGUUUUUAGCUUCUUUUCCUUUUGUUUCUGUGCAUUACUUCUGGUGACUAACCGGGUAUUGCGAGCAUGCUCUACUUUUUUUGGUUUUAGUUUCUUAUGUUCCUUAUUUCAUUUAUACUGUUUCCUAUGCUCAGGAUGUACCCUGCUAUGUCAUUUGUGAUCCCUAUUUUGGAGACCAUAGUGGCACAGUUUGCUUUGCCCACUCUUUUAUACGUGUGUGAGAUUAUUGAUGGUGGGAUCAAGUUUGCUGGGGUGAAGCUUGAGCUUCCUACAAAUGGUGCCUCCCUGCCGCCAGAUAUGAGAUUCUUCUGGGCAGCUGGCGUCCACUUACGAUCCAAGGAUCUGCUCUGCUUGCGCUUCAGGCGGGUGGAUCAGGAGCUCUGUUGAUAGUUUUUGUUGCCUUUUUAGAGUCAGCCGCAAUGGAAAAAGUCAGGAUCCCAGGAAAGGACCUUCUGGACGCUAUGAUGCAGCAGCUUGGCCUUCCAAACGUAGUGUACUCAACAGAGAAGGCAAGGACGGUUGGUCUUGAUGCAACCAUUCACUAUGCAUGAAAGCACCAACUGGACAACUGACUUCCAAGGAAAUCAAUAUGCAUCUUCGUGUAAGGUAAACUCAAAGAAGCUGAAGAUCGACCGGCAACUAAAGCUCUCAAGUAGUCUAAGUGAAGUGAACUUUACCACAUAAUAGGUACAAACUUCACAGCAAGAUCAACACCCUGAGCCAACAAUCUGAAACAUAUUUUUUCACAAUAAGACAUGUUGCUGAUCGUCUUAAUGAUAUAAAUCUACAAUCAGAAGCCGUUAUACAAAAAACAAACAAGUAUUAUUGGAGCCUGGACGAUGAUAUCAAAGGAAUUUCUCCUCUGAGCAAUGCAGGCCAUGGAGAACAAUAGCUAUUAAGACUUGGCUCAAAGAAAUUGUUCUAAACAUCCAGCGAUACAUCUGUUUAACAUAGCUCUGCCUAUCUACAUGUCUUGCUCAAAACAUUGUAAAUGAUGGUUCGUAAGCCUUUCAGAAAACAUGUAUCAUCAGC